GCAGAGCACACCAAAAGUAGGUAAUGCAGUGAUACUAUUAGGGCUAGUAUGUGCUAGUAAAAUGAAGGAAGCUCAACCUCAUGAUAUUUAAGGGAUCUACCUCUUACGUUGAACAUCUCGCUAGUGAUUUGCGUUAGCCUAUUUCCGUAAAUAUAGCUAGGGAAAACGAGAAAAAUGUAGUUUAAGCGACAGUAAAGCUACAUUGAUAUAAUUAAAGAAAACAGUUUAGCAUU